AGUGAACGCUGGCGGUAGGCCUAACACAUGCAAGUCGAACGGCAGCACAGUAAGAGCUUGCUCUUACGGGUGGCGAGUGGCGGACGGGUGAGGAAUACAUCGGAAUCUACCUUUUCGUGGGGGAUAACGUAGGGAAACUUACGCUAAUACCGCAUACGACCUACGGGUGAAAGCAGGGGAUCUUCGGACCUUGCGCGAUUGAAUGAGCCGAUGUCGGAUUAGCUAGUUGGCGGGGUAAAGGCCCACCAAGGCGACGAUCCGUAGCUGGUCUGAGAGGAUGAGCAGCCACACUGGAACUGAGACACGGUCCAGACUCCUACGGGGGGCAGCAGUGGGGAAUAUUGGACAAUGGGCGCAAGCCUGAUCCAGCCAUACCGCGUGGGUGAAGAAGGCCUUCGGGUUGUAAAGCCCUUUUGUUGGGAAAGAAAAGCAGCAGGUUAAUACCCCGCUGUUCUGACGGUACCCAAAGAAUAAGCACCGGCUAACUUCGU
rnacentral:rRNA from 1 species